CACAAGACUGAAUCUGGAUCACCAUCUAGUGGCAGACGGGUGAGUAACACGUGGGUGACCUACCUUUUCGUUGGGGAUAACAGUUGGAAACGAUUGCUAAUACCGAAUAAAAUGUAAGAGUCAAUUUUACAUUGAAAGGAGCCUUUAAAGCUUCGCGAUUAGAUGGGCCUGCGGCGUAUUAGCUAGUUGGUGGGGUAAUGGCCUACCAAGGCGACGAUGCGUAGCCGGACUGAGAGGAUGAACGGCCACACUGGAACUGAGACACGGUCCAGACUCC
rnacentral:rRNA from 1 species